AUUGAACGCUGGCGGCAUGCUUUACACAUGCAAGUCGAACGGUAACAGGCCGCAAGGUGCUGACGAGUGGCGAACGGGUGAGUAAUGCAUCGGAACGUGCCCAGUCGUGGGGGAUAACUACUCGAAAGAGUAGCUAAUACCGCAUACGAUCUAUGGAUGAAAGCGGGGGACCGUAAGGCCUCGCGCGAUUGGAGCGGCCGAUGUCAGAUUAGGUAGUUGGUGGGGUAAAGGCUCACCAAGCCAACGAUCUGUAGCUGGUCUGAGAGGACGACCAGCCACUCUGGGACUGAGACACGGCCCAGACUCCUACGGGAGGCAGCAGUGGGGAAUUUUGGACAAUGGGCGCAAGCCUGAUCCAGCAAUGCCGCGUGCAGGAAGAAGGCCUUCGGGUUGUAAACUGCUUUUGUACGGAACGAAACGGCUCUGGUUAAUACCCGGGGCUAAUGACGGUACCGUAAGAAUAAGCACCGGCUAACUACGUG
rnacentral:rRNA from 1 species